CAAUCGAACCCGGAGAUAGCUGGUUCUCCUCGAAAUAGCUUUAGGGCUAGCCUCGCAUUAGUUUACCGGAGGUAGAGCACUGAAUGGUCUAGGGGGCCUCACCGCCUACCGAAACCUAUCAAACUGCGAAUGCCGGAUAAAUGAUGUGCGGGAGUCAGGCCGCGAGAGAUAAGUUCCGCGGUCAAAAGGGGAACACCCCAGAUCGUCUGCUAAGGUCCCUAAGUACGCGUUAAGUGGGAAAGGAUGUUGGAUUGCACAGACAACCAGGAUGUUGGCUUAGAAGCAGCCACACAUUCAAAGAGUGCGUAAUAGCUCACUGGUCGAGUGAUCCAGCGCCGAAAAUGUAACGGGGCUAAAACGCGACACCGAAGCAGCGGGAUGCGUAAGCAUCGGUAGAGGAGCAUUGUGUGAGGAUAGAAGCCAGAGCGGGAGCACUGGUGGACUUCACAGAAGAGAGAAUGCCGGUAUGAGUAGCGAGACCCAUGCGAGAAACAUGGGCGUCGAAGGCCCAAGGUUUCCUGGGGAAGGUUCAUCCACCCAGGGUAAGUCGGGACCUAAGCCGAGGACUGAGGUCGUAGGCGAUGGACAGCAGGUAGAGAUUCCUGCACCACUUACACUUGUUUGACGAAGCAGUGACACAGAAGGAUAGGACGAGCGCGGUGAUGGUCAACCGCGUAGGCGGCACGAGGCCGGGAAGCAGUGAAGUACACUUCCCGCAAAGGCUGAGUGUUGACAGGACCGAAAAGAAGUAGGGAAGCGUCCGAGUUCACGCUGGCGAGAAAAGCUGCUAAGGAGAGUGUGAGUGCCCGUACCGGAAACCGACGCAGGUGGGCGAGGAGAGAAUCCUGAGACGGACGGGAGAACUCUUGUUAAGGAACUCGGCAAAAUGACCCCGUAACUUCGGGAGAAGGGGUGCCUCGAAAGAGGCCGCAGAGAAUAGUCACAAGCGACUGUUUAGCAAAAACACAGGUAUCUGCGAAAGCGAGAGCUGACGUAUAGGUGCUGACGCCUGCCCGGUGCUGGAAGGUUAAGGGGAAGUGUUAGGGGAAACCCGAAGCAGAGAACCGAAGCCCCAGUAAACGGCGGCCGUAACUAUAACGGUCCUAAGGUAGCGAAAUUCCUUGUCGGGUAAGUUCCGACCCGCACGAAUGGCGUAACGACUUGUGAGCUGUCUCAACAGGAGGCCCGGUGAAAUUGAAGUAUGUGUGAAGAUGCACAUUACCCGCGACUGGACGGAAAGACCCCGUAGAGCUUUACUGUAACCUGACAUUGGAUCUUGAUAACGGAUGCACAGGAUAGGUGGGACGCUGGGAGACGAGGACUUUGGUUUUCGUGGAGCGGCCGUUGGGAUACCACUCUUCUGUUAUUGAGAUUCUAACCUCAAGCCGUAAGCCGGAUGAGAGACAGUGUCAGGCGGACAGUUUGACUGGGGCGGUCGCCUCCGAAAGAGUAACGGAGGCGCCCAAAGGUACCCUCAGAAUGGAUGGAAACCAUUCGAAGAGAGCAAAGUCAGAAGGGUGCUUGACUGCGAGACCAACAAGUCGAGCAGGUACGAAAGUAGGGCUUAGUGAUCCGGCGGUAAGAGAGUGGAAUUGCCGUCGCUCAACGGAUAAAAGCUACCUCGGGGAUAACAGGCUGAUCUCCCCCAAGAGUUCACAUCGACGGGGAGGUUUGGCACCUCGAUGUCGGCUCA
rnacentral:rRNA from 1 species